CCUACGGGAGACAGCAGUGGGGAAUAUUGCACACUGGGGGAAACCCUGAUGCAGCGACGCCGCGUGAGUGAAGAAGUAAUUCGGUAUGUAAAGCCCUAUCAGCAGGGAAGAAAAUAACGGUACCUGAGUAAGAAGCCGCGGCUAACUACGUGCCAGCUGCCGCGGUAAAACGUAGGGGGCAAGCGUUAUCCGGAUUUACUGGGUGUAAAGGGAGCGUAGUGGGCAGUGCAAGUCUGGAGUGAAAGGCGGGGGCUCCAACCCCGGACUGCUCUGGAAACUGUACGGCUGGAGUGCAGGAGAGGGAAGUGGAAUGCCUAGUGUAGCGGUGAAAUGCGUAGAUAUUAGGAAGAACCCCAGUGGCGAAGGCGGCUUACUGGACUGUAACUGACGUUGAGGCUCGAAAGCGUGGGGAGCAAACAGGAUUAGAUACCCCUGUAGUC
rnacentral:rRNA from 1 species